CAUAGACUGCGAUUUGAAAACGGGAUGUUGUCGAUAUUAUACUUGGGUGCGGAUUAGAGUAGUAAUCAGACUUACCGAUCACCGCGCUCUCGUCGUGAGCCUCCUUUUCCGGUUGCACGGUGCUGGAGGAUAUCUGGAAGAAAAAUAUUCCCAAUAAAUAAUCCGUGAUAACUGCGAGCAUCGUAGGAGUAAAAUGAGCCUCGGUUGUUCCUGGAGAACUUACUCUGCAUUGUUGCGAUCCGUUGAGAAAUGCGGCACAUGAAUAUCAUGAGAAACGUGAGCCGUUUCGACUUUAUUUCUCUCAUUGAAGAAUUGACUGUAAAUACGAAGAGAGAAGAUCCAGACUUCUUAAAAAUGAAGCUCGUCUCACCCCACGUCAACUUGAGAGAGAUAAAGAAUUGCCCGUCGAAAGUUUCCUCGAUUCGGUUAGGAGACAGGAAUUCUUGUCUCAUCGUCGAUUAUUCAUCAUCGUCAUGACUCUUUAGGAGAAAUCGAUAAGAUCUUCAGGGGUGAACCAGUGCUCUCGGGAGGACGCGGCUUCGUUUUAAAACUUUCUUCGCAUCCGACAAGCCUGCAUACGAACCGAAAGAUUCCCGAGGAGGUAAUGACGAGAUCUUUAUCACCGUAAUUUGGCGGCGAAGAUUUGACGUUCGAAGUGAUUACGAACGGCUGUAUAAGUUCUGCACGUUCGGCUGGUUUAAUUAAGCGAGCCUGGAGAAGCUCGAUAAAUGCCGCAGUUGUACUUGUACAGCUUUCGUACAUCGUCAUGCGCCGGAGGAAGCUAAUUUUCGUAACACGGUGCGAAAAACUUGGGCUGAUCGCAGUGCCGAAUGCGAAUCUCCGGAUAUUAGCAUUUUUCAAUGGGUACCCAUCGUCAAAUAUAACGACGUCGUUUUCAAAAGCUGAAAAAUCGCUAUCGUCUCGUUAUUCUCAUCCGUCACUGCGAUGCAGCCGCAGCUGACUUCGUCGUGACGCAAUUUCACGAAUAAUUUUCCUCCCCAUAUUACAAACUAUCCUUGAAAUUCGGCGCGGAUCUUCGACGCUAAUAUUUCCUUUACUUUCUCUCACAUCUCGGUUUCAUCGGAUCUCAAAGUCUCGCUAUGAUUCUGCUUCUUUCUUUCUUUAAGACCUGAGAAAAAUGUUGUGAAGUGUUUACGACCGACUGAAAUUUUAUUU